rnacentral:rRNA from 1 species
AUUGAACGCUGGCGGCGUGCUUAACACAUGCAAGUCGAUCGGUAGCAGGUGUAGCAAUACAUGCUGACGAGAGGCGGACGGGUGAGGAACGCUUGGGAAUCUGCCUAUCAGCGGGGGACAACCCGGGGAAACUCGGGCUAAUACCGCAUACGCUCUACGGAGGAAAGCCGGGGACCGCAAGGCCUGGCACUGAUAGAUGAGCCCAAGCCGGAUUAGCUAGUUGGCGGGGUAACGGCCCACCAAGGCGACGAUCCGUAGCUGGUCUGAGAGGACGAUCAGCCACACCGGAACUGAGACACGGUCCGGACUCCUACGGGAGGCAGCAGUGGGGAAUAUUGGACAAUGGGCGAAAGCCUGAUCCAGCGACGCCGCGUGGGUGAAGAAGGCCUGCGGGUUGUAAAGCCCUUUCGGUAGGGACAAAAGCUCUCGACCUAACACGUCGGGAGGUUGACUUAACCUACAAAAGAAGCACCGGCUAACUCUGUGCCAGCAGCCGCAGUAAGAC